rnacentral:piRNA from 1 species
UGGGCUGCUGAUUUAGAAGCAGGCACU